rnacentral:rRNA from 1 species
CCUACGGGAGGCAGCAGUGGGGAAUAUUGCACAAUGGGGGGAACCCUGAUGCAGCAACGCCGCGUGAGUGAUGAAGGUUUUCGGAUCGUAAAGCUCUGUCUUUGGGGAAGAUAAUGACGGUACCCAAGGAGGAAGCCACGGCUAACUACGUGCCAGCAGCCGCGGUAAU